GGGCCCGUAGCUCAGUCUGGAUAGAGUGCCUGGCUUCGAACCAGGAGGCCGCGCGUUCGAAUCGCGUCGGGCCCG
rnacentral:tRNA from 1 species